rnacentral:rRNA from 1 species
UACGUAGGGGGCAAGCGUUGUCCGGAAUCAUUGGGCGUAAAGAGCGUGUAGGCGGCUCGGUAAGUCCGCUGUAAAAAGUCAAAGGCUCAACCUUUGAAUGUCAGUGGAUACUGCCGGGCUAGAGUCCGGAAGAGGCGAGUGGAACUCCUGGUGUAGCGGUGGAAUGCGCAGAUAUCAGGAAGAACACCAACGGCGAAGGCAGCUCGCUGGGACGGUACUGACGCUGAGACGCGAAAAGCGUGGGGGAGCGAACAGG